AGCGAACGCUGGCGGUAGGCCUAACACAUGCAAGUCGAACGAACUCUUCGGAGUUAGUGGCUGACGGGGGAGUAACACGGGGGAACGGGCCUGUAGGCUCGGAAUAACUCAGGUACACUUGAGCUAAUGUAGGAAGUGCCCUUCGGGGAAAGGAUUUAUCGCGCUUGGAGCCGCCCGCGUCGGUUUAGCCAGUGGGGGAGGUAAAGGCGGACCAAGGCGUAGCUAAGUAGCUGGGCUGAGAGGAUGAGCAGCCACACUGGGAGUAUGACACGGCCCAAACUCCUACGGGAGGCAGGAGUGGGGAAUCUUGCGCAAUGGGCGAGAGGCUGACGCAGCCAUGCCGCGUGAAUGCUGAAGGUCUUAGGAUUGUAAAAUUCUUUAACCGGGGACGAUAAUGACGGUACCCGGAGAAGAAGCCCCGGCUAACUUCGUG
rnacentral:rRNA from 1 species